AAUAAUGAUUAUCUGUCAGGUACCUUUAACAAGGAUAAUAGGGAAACAGGUGUGAGUCCUGUACGGUCCCGCCACUGUAAAUGGUGAAUUUGUUUUCGAAAAGCCACUGUAGGUAUAAAAACUUAUGGGAAGGCGGAAACAAAUGAUGAGCCAUAAGUCAGGAGACCUGCCUGUCAUUUUAUACAUAA
rnacentral:ncRNA from 2 species